rnacentral:lncRNA from 1 species
GCGUGUUCUGUAUAUCUCGUAGGAUGCUUUGGUUGUUGCCCUGCGUCUCUUAAAGGACACUGCUUAUGGGCAACUGCAUGACUAUCCUGCGCCCCUUAGGAAAUGGUAGGAACCUGGAUACCUCCCUCAGGAAGCAUGGACACCUCUCUUUGGAAAUUUCUAGCGCACCAUGCAUCUCUCUGAGGACGCUUCUUUGUGGGAUACGUCUCUCGUAGGAUGCUUUUGGUCGUCACCCUGUGUCUCCUUUAGAGCGCUCC